rnacentral:misc_RNA from 1 species
GUAUUCUUCACCCCUUUGCUUUAUAUUUUACGUCCAUUUUCAAUCUUCUACUCGAAAGAAGAGACAAACCCAAGAAAGAAAUGGCAAAUCUUAAUGUGCCCUUAACACUUGUGUUUCUUCUGCUCAUGAUUUCCCCAGAGAUAAAAAUGACGGAGUGUGCAAGGAUUUUUACUAUAAUCAACCAUUGUGAAGAGACAAUAUGGCCUGCCAUCACUCCAGGUGAAAACUUCAACGGAGGUGGAUUUGUAUUGAAGCCAGGGCAAUCCAUUGUUUUCAAUGCUCCGGUAGGGUGGAUUGGCCGAAUAUGGGGUCGAACAGGUUGCAAUUUUGACAAAAACGGUAAUGGAUCAUGCCAAACCGGUGCUUGUGGCACAUCCCUGACAUGUAAGGCUUCAGGUCAACCACCUGCUUCACUAGCUGAAUUCACCUUAUCAGCAACAGAUUACUAUGAUGUUAGCCUAGUGGACGGAUUUAACUUGCCAUUAGUUGUUACACCAAUUAAUGGUCAAGGAAAUUGCAGCAUUGCCGGUUGUGACAUGGAUUUAAGGUCUAAUUGUCCGACGGAACUCGCCUUGAAAUCGAAAGGGAAAGUUAUUGGCUGCCGAAGUGCUUGUGAUGUGUUCAAUUCUGAUGAGUAUUGCUGCAGAGGAGUUUAUGGGAAUCCUGUAAUUUGCCAACCUACAUAUUAUUCCAAGAAGUUCAAGGAAGCUUGCCCUACUGCUUAUAGUUAUGCAUAUGAUGAUCCCACCAGCAUUUUUACUUGCUCUGGAACAGAUUAUGUCAUUACUUUUUGUGCAUCUAGGAUCUGAUUAUUAUUGUUAAUAAAUUUUCAGGAAGCAACAGGUUUGUACAUACCAUAAUAACAAGCUUGUCUGUGGUGGAUCUCAAGGAUUAAAAUCAUUGAUUGAAAGAUGGUGGCCUCUCAUGCUUGCUUGGCCAUCAAUGGUUAGUUGGUGGAUUGUAUAAUAAUUAAUUAAUUAAGAUGAGUAAUCUUUUGUUUUUAUUAUUAUUAUUAUUA